AAAAUUAAAGAGUUGGAUGACUACAAAUCGAAGAUGGAUAUAUGAUACUCUACCGAUUGACUUUAGUCCAAAUAGGAGUUGUUGAAAAAUAUGUUCCAAAGCCAAUCAUUAGAUGAUUGUGCUCAUCUUGUAAACUGUAUAUGAAUUUUUAUUAAUAAAAGUUAUUUGACAUUUUCAUUACAAAUUGAUCAUCUUUAAGCUCCUAUGUUGUAAUGAAGUCCUUAGGACUAUAUAUAUCAAUCGAUAAAGGAGGAUUUGUCGUUAAGUCCUUAAAAUUAUUCACG
rnacentral:lncRNA from 1 species